rnacentral:rRNA from 1 species
GACGAACGCUGGCGGCGUGCUUAACACAUGCAAGUCGAACGGAAAGGCCCCUUUGGGGGUACUCGAGUGGCGAACGGGUGAGUAACACGUGAGUAACCUGCCCUUGACUUCGGGAUAACUUCAGGAAACUGGGGCUAAUACCGGAUAGGAAUCCUUGCUGCAUGGUGGGGGUUGGAAAGCUUCGGCGGUUUUGGAUGGACUCGCGGCUUAUCAGCUUGUUGGUGGGGUAGUGGCUUACCAAGGCUUUGACGGGUAGCCGGCCUGAGAGGGCGACCGGCCACAUUGGGACUGAGAUACGGCCCAGACUCCUACGGGAGGCAGCAGUGGGGAAUAUUGCACAAUGGGCGGAAGCCUGAUGCAGCAACGCCGCGUGCGGGAUGACGGCCUUCGGGUUGUAAAACGCUUUCAGCAGGGGCGAAGCUUGUGGUGACGGUACCUGCAGAAGAAGCACCGGCUAACUACGUG